AUUGAACGCUGGCGGCGGGCUUAACACAUGCAAGUCGAGCGAGCGGCGGACGGGUGAGUAAUGUCUGGGAACCUGCCUGCUAGAGGGGGAUAACUACUGGAAAAGGUAGCCAAUACCGCAUACCAUCAUCAGUGCCUCAUGGGGAGUAGUUAGUUGGUGGGGUAACGGCUCACCUAGGCGACGAUCCCUAGCUGGUCUGAGAGGAUGACCAGCAACACGUGAACUGAGACACGGUCCAGACUCCUACGGGAGGCAGCAGUGGGGAAUAUUGCACAAGGGGCGCAAGCCUGAUGCAGCAAUGCCGCGUGUAUGAAGAAGGCCUUCGGGUUGGAAAGUACUUUCAGCGGGGAGGCGUUACCCGCAGAAGAAGCACCGGCUAACUCCGUGCCAGCAGCCGCGGUAAUAC
rnacentral:rRNA from 1 species